AUUGAACGCUGGCGGCAGGCUUAACACAUGCAAGUCGAGCGAGCGGCGGACGGGUGAGUAAUGUCUGGGAAACUGCCUGAUGGAGGGGGAUAACUACUGGAAACGGUAGCUAAUACCGCAUACCAUCAGAUGUGCCCAGAUGGGAUUAGCUAGUAGGUGGGGUAAUGGCUCACAUAGGCGACUAUCCCUAGCUGGUCUGAGAGGAUGACCAGCCACACGGGAACUGAGACACGGGCCAGACUCCUACGGGAGGCAGCAGUGGGGAAUAUUGCACAAGGGGCGCAAGCCUGAUGCAGCCAUGCCGCGGGUGUGAAGAAGGCCUUCGGGUUGUAAAGUACUUUCAGCGAGGAGGCGUUACUCGCAGAAGAAGCACCGGCUAACUCCGUGCCAGCAGCCGCGGUAAUUC
rnacentral:rRNA from 1 species